AUGGCGGUUGCCGCGCUCCUGCGCCGGGGGGCGCUCUCGUCGUCGUGCCGCCAUGAUGUUUAUAUCCGUUGCCUUCUCUCCGAUUCUGAUCUACAUCCGUUGGUCAAUUCUGCCAAUUUGAGAUUUUGGAGGGGCAACCACAACUCUGGGAAGUUUGAUUUCACUGAUAUGACGCAUCCUCAUUUAUGGUAUCCAAAUGCCCGAGAAAAGAAGCGCAAUGUAUUUUUGCACGUUGGUCCUACAAACAGUGGGAAAACACAUAAUGCUCUCAAACGAUUAGAAGCAAGCUCUUCAGGUGUGUACUGUGGACCUCUAAGAUUGUUAGCACGGGAGGUAGCAGAAAGAUUAAACAAAGCUAGUGUCCCCUGUAACUUGACUACUGGACAAGAAAGGGAAGAAAUUGAAGGUGCAAAGCAUAGCUCAGUGACCGUUGAGAUGGCUGAUGUGACGACUGAGUAUCAAUGCGCUGUUAUUGAUGAAAUUCAGAUGGUUGGCUGUAGAACAAGGGGUUGUUCAUUUACACGUGCACUUCUGGGGCUUUGUUCAGAUGAGCUUCAUGUUUGUGGUGACCCAGCUGUUGUCCCUAUUGUUCAGCGAUUGCUUGAAGCUACUGAUGAUGUGGUUACGAUUCAAUAUUAUGAGAGACUAUCUCCUUUGGUUCCUUUGAAGUCUACACUUGGAUCUUUCUCAAACAUCAAGGCAGGGGAUUGCAUGGUAACGUUCUCACGGCGCGAGAUAUAUAAGCUUAAGAAAAAAAUUGAAAUGGCGGGAAAACAUCUUUGCUCUGUAGUCUAUGGCUCAUUACCACCAGAAACUCGAACGAAACAGGCGACAAUGUUCAAUGAUGACGCCAGUGACCUUAAUGUGCUAGUGGCUAGCGAUGCUAUUGGAAUGGGUCUUAAUCUGAACAUUUCUAGAAUUAUUUUCUCUACACUGAAGAAGUUUGAUGGUAUCUGCACCAGGGAACUGACUGUCCCUGAGAUCAAACAGAUUGCUGGCAGAGCUGGGAGAUAUGGGUCUAAAUUCCCAGUUGGCGAAGUGACCUGUUUAGACGCUGAAGAUCUCCCGUUACUGCACUCAUCCCUGAAGUCACCUUCUCCCAUUAUAGAGCGUGCUGGACUUUUUCCCACAUUUGAUUUAUUGUCUGUGUAUUCACGAUUACAUGGAACUGACUUUCUUCACCCUAUAUUGGAACGUUUCUUGGACAAGGCUAAACUGUCUCCGGACUAUUUUAUUGCCGAUUGCGAAGAUAUGCUGAAAGUUGCUGCUAUUGUUGAUGAGUUGCCUCUUGCGUUGCAUGAUAAGUACGUCUUUUGUCAAAGUCCAGUGGAUGUGAGGGAUGAUAUAUCUAUUCAGGGAUUAACACAGUUUGCAGAAAACUAUGCAAAGAAAGGCACAGUUCGGCUUAAAGAAAUAUUUACACCUGGAACACUGCGGGUGCCUACAACACACAAUCAACUCCAGGAGCUUGAAUCUGUUCACAAGGUCCUAGAGUUGUAUGUGUGGUUAAGCUACAGAUUUGACGACUCUUUCCCAGAUCGUGAAUUGGCGGCUUCCCAAAAGUCAAUAUGCAGCAUGUUGAUUGAAGAAUACCUUGAGAGGUCAGGAUGGCAGCCACAAGGACAAAGAAGGUUUUUGCAUACUCCACGGAAAUUGCGCCAAGAAUAUGAUGCGUCACAAUUGCGUGGGUAUUUUCGAGAAAUUGACGAAAGAUCAAAAUAG
rnacentral:rRNA from 1 species